AUGGGAUGUCACUGGAUCUUUCUCUUCCUUGUGUUAGUAACUACAGGUGUUCAUGCCCAGGUCCAGCUGCAGCAGUCUGGGGCUGAGCUGGUGAAACCUGGAGCCUCAGUGAAGGUGUCCUGCAAGGCUUCUGGCUACACUUUUGAUACCUAUGCUAUGCAGUGGGUGAAGCAGGUGCCUGGACAGGGUCUGGAGUGGAUUGGGUACAUUAUUCCUAUAUUUGGUAGUACUGACUACAAUCAGAAGUUCAAGGAAAAGGCCACACUGACUGCAGACACAUCCUCCAGCACAGCCUAUAUGGAGCUCAGCAGGCUGACCUCUGAGGACUCUGCGGUCUAUUACUGUGCAAGACACACAGUGUUGCAACCACAUCCUGAGUGUGUCAGAAACCCUGGAGGAGCAGGAAGCUGCCCUGCGACUGAGAUGACAGAUAAGAUUAGACUGGAGAUUUAUUAA